rnacentral:rRNA from 1 species
GCCAGACUCCUACGGGAGGCAGCAGUGAGGAAUAUUGGUCAAUGGGCUUACGCCUGAACCAGCCAAGUCGCGUGAGGGAAGACGGCCCUACGGGUUGUAAACCUCUUUUGUCGGGGAGCAAAGCGAACCACGUGUGGUUCAUUGAGAGUACCCGAAGAAAAAGCAUCGGCUAACUCCGUGCCAGCAGCCGCGGUAAUACGGAGGAUGCGAGCGUUAUCCGGAUUUAUUGGGUUUAAAGGGUGCGCAGGCGGAGGUGCAAGUCAGCGGUAAAAUCGCGGGGCUCAACCUCGCUCCGCCGUUGAAACUGGCGUUCUUGAGUGGGCGAGAAGUAUGCGGAAUGCGUGGUGUAGCGGUGAAAUGCAUAGAUAUCGCGCAGAACUCCGAUUGCGAAGGCAGCAUGCCGGCUCCACACUGACGCUGAGGCACGAAAGCGUGGGUAUCGAACAGGAUUAGAUACCCCUGUAAAC